AGCAGCCGCGGUAAUUCCAGCUCCAAUAGCGUAUAUUAAAGUUGUUGCAGUUAAAAAGCUCGUAGUUGAAUUUCGGGAUCAAAUUGUCGGUCGUGCCUCGGUACGAACUGGUAUUAUUGGUUCCUCCCUUCUGAAGAACCGCGAUGUCAUUAAUUGGUGUCGUGGGAAAUCAGGACUGUUACUUUAGAAAAAAUUGGGUGUUUAAAGCAGGCUUACGCUUGAAUACAUUAGCAUGGAAUAAUGAAAUAGG
rnacentral:rRNA from 1 species